rnacentral:rRNA from 1 species
CCUACGGGAGGCAGCAGUAGGGAAUCUUCCGCAAUGGGCGAAAGCCUGACGGAGCAACGCCGCGUGAGUGAUGAAGGUUCUUCGGAUUGUAAAACUCUGUUAUUAGGGAAGAACAAACGUGUAAGUAACUGUGCACGUCUUGACGGUACCUAAUCAGAAAGCCACGGCUAACUACGUGCCAGCAGCCGCGGUACA